rnacentral:pre_miRNA from 1 species
GAGAGUCUUCUGACCAAGAAACAGCCUUUCAAACAACUUGGAAACUUGUUUGAGAGUGCCAUUAUCUGGGAGAGAUGAUUCUC